rnacentral:lncRNA from 1 species
ACAAAGUUGAAAACUUCAAAUAUCACAAAGUUAAAAAGUAAACUUUAUUUGCUCUAAAGAUUAAUGGCAUUCAAAGCCAUGAAAAUAUGGGUUGUGGUGAUAUUGAUGAUAAUGUUAAUUGGAUCGGAAGUUGAAUGCAUCUCUAACUCUCAAGAAUUUAAGUCAAUGAAGCUACCUGGACCUUUGUGUGAAGCAAAGUGUGAUUUUGUUUGUGCAAGAGUUGGUAAAGUUGAAGAAAGAUUCAAAUGUGUGGAAGAUUGUAAAAAAAAUAAAUGCUAAGAGUAAUAUUGCAAUGAUUCAUAACAUAACGAAUGGUAUUUAUUUAUUUAAAUUUUAUCAUCAUAUUUUAUUAAUUCAUUUUUUGAAAUUUAUAAAUACUUAUAUUUUUAUUUUUACAUUGUAGGUACUCAUGCGUGUGGUGCAAACAUACCUUCGUUAAUUCUUUGAGUCUUGCAACACUAUCAAGUUCAAGUUGAAUAAAUUUAUUUUAAUUAAGAAUUUCAGCAUUUUUGUUUUUUAUAAUCACUAUAUUGAAGGAUUUAUUUUAUUUAUCUUCUAGGUUGGUUAAUUU